rnacentral:rRNA from 1 species
UUACGGGAGGCAGCAGUAGGGAAUCUUCCGCAAUGGGCGAAAGCCUGACGGAGCAACGCCGCGUGAGUGAUGAAGGUCUUCGGAUCGUAAAGCUCUGUCUUCGGUGACGAAAAUGACGGUAGCCGAGGAGGAAGCCACGGCAAACUACGUGCCAGCAGCCGCGGUAAUACGUAGGUGGCAAGCGUUGUCCGGAAUUACUGGGCGUAAAGCGCGCGUAGACGGCUUAAUAAGUCAGAUGUGAAAGACCCGGGCUCAACCCGGGGGUUGCAUCUGAGACUGCUAAGCUUGAGUGCAGGAGAGGCAAGUGGAAUUCCCAGUGUAGCAGUGAAAUGCGUAGAUAUUGGGAGGAACACCAGUGGCGAAGGCGACUUGCUGGACUGUAACUGACGUUGAGGUGCGAAAGCUAGGGGAGCAAACGGGAUUAGAUACCCCGGUAGU